rnacentral:tRNA from 1 species
GCCGGCGUGGCGGAAUGGCAGACGCGUCAGACUCAAAAUCUGAUAUCCGCAAGGGUGUGUGGGUUCAAGUCCCUCCGCCGGUA